rnacentral:rRNA from 1 species
GAACGCGGGGGGCACACGUAACACACACAAAUCUGGCGGUAGCGCAGAGAAGCUUGCUCCUUGGGUGACGAGUGGCGGACGGGUGAGUAAUGUCUGGGGAUCUGCCCGAUAGAGGGGGAUAACCACUGGAAACGGUGGCUAAUACCGCAUAACGUCGCAAGACCAAAGAGGGGGACCUUCGGGCCUCUCACUAUCGGAUGAACCCAGAUGGGAUUAGCUAGUAGGCGGGGUAAUGGCCCACCUAGGCGACGAUCCCUAGCUGGUCUGAGAGGAUGACCAGCCACACUGGAACUGAGACACGGUCC